UUUUAGCCCAGAGUGAAAUGAAAAGCCUUUUACUCAAAAAAGCAUAUUUUUUUGCAGGAACAGAGCGACCGAAGGAAGCUCCUGAAACUGCUUUAAAAAUAGCUUUUUUGAAUAAAAGCUUGAAAUGGAAAGCUGGAUUAGCU
rnacentral:sRNA from 4 species